CUUCAUCAACCUGCUGAGGGCAGAUAAAAUGAAUAUGGGCAUCGAUGCCACCGGCAGUUAAUAUUUUGCCUUCACCAGCAAUAAUUUCGGUGCUGGCACCGAUGGCGAUGGUCACACCAUUUUGAAUGUCGGGAUUACCGGCUUUACCUAUACCACUUAUGCGCCCUUGUUUAAUGGCCACAUCGGCUUUAACUAUGCCCCAGGUAUCUAAAAUCAGGGCAUUGGUGAUGACUAAAUCUGGCACAUCGGCAUAACCCAACUGGCUUUGCCCCAUGCCAUCACG
rnacentral:sRNA from 1 species